rnacentral:rRNA from 1 species
GAAAGGCUUCGGCCGGACAGGGAUGGGCAUGCGGCGCAUUAGGCAGUAGGCGGGGUAACGGCCCACCUAACCGACGAUGCGUAGGGGUUCUGAGAGGAAGGUCCCCCACACUGGUACUGAGACACGGACCAGACUCCUACGGGAGGCAGCAGUGAGGAAUAUUGGUCAAUGGUCGGGAGACUGAACCAGCCAAGCCGCGUGAGGGAGGAAGGUACAGAGUAUCGUAAACCUCUUUUGUCAGGGAACAAAGACUGGGACGCGUCCCCGGAUGAGUGUACCUGAAGAAAAAGCAUCGGCUAACUCCGUGCCAGCAGCCGCGGUAAUACGGAGGAUGCGAGCGUUAUCCGGAUUUAUUGGGUUUAAAGGGUGCGCAGGCGGUCUGUUAAGUCAGCGGUCAAAGCCCGGGGCUCAACCCCGGCCCGCCGUUGAAACUGGCAGUCUCGAGUUGGAGAGAAGUAUGCGGAAUGCGCGGUGUAGCGGUGAAAUGCAUAGAUAUCGCGCAGAACUCCGAUUGCGAAGGCAGCAUGCCGGCUCCACACUGACGCUGAGGCACGAAAGCGUGGGUAUCGAACAGGAUUAGAUACCCUGGUAGUCCACGCAGUAAACGAUGAAUGCUGGCUGUCCGGGGGGGACUGACCCCUGG